UCGGGAAUUUUGGGCAAUGGGCGAAAGCCUGACCCAGCAACGCCGCGUGAAGGAUGAAGUAUUUCGGUAUGUAAACUUCGAAAGAAUAGGAAGAAUAAAUGACGGUACUAUUUAUAAGGUCCGGCUAACUACGUGCCAGCAGCCGCGGUAAUACGUAGGGACCAAGCGUUGUUCGGAUUUACUGGGCGUAAAGGGCGCGUAGGCGGCAAUUCAAGUCAUCUGUGAAAUCUCCGGGCUUAACUCGGAACGGUCAGAUGAUACUGCUUUGCUAGAGUGCAGAAGGGGCAAUCGGAAUUCUUGGUGUAGCGGUGAAAUGCGUAGAUAUCAAGAGGAACACCUGAGGUGAAGACGGGUUGCUGGGCUGACACUGACGCUGAGGCACGAAAGCGUGGGGAGCGAACGGGAUUAGAUACCCCUGUAGUCCCUGAGCGGGCUGGCAAGGCGCAU
rnacentral:rRNA from 1 species